AUUGAACGCUGGCGGCAGGCCUAACACAUGCAAGUCGAGCGAGCGGCGGACGGGAGAGUAAUGUAUGGGGACUGCCCGAUAGAGGGGGAUAACUACUGGAAACGGUGGCUAAUACCGCAUACUAACGGAAAACCCAUAUGGGAUUAGAUAGUGGGAGGGGUAAAGGACCACCUAGGCGACGAUCUUUAGCUGGUCUGAGAGGAUGAUCAGCCACACUUGGACUGAGACACGGCCCAGACUCAUACGGAGGCAGCAGUGGGGAAUAUUGCACAAUGGGCGCAAGCCUUAUGCAGCCAUGCCGCGUGUAUGAAGAAGGCCUUAGGGUUGUAAAGUACUUUCAGCGGGGAGGCGUUACCCGCAGAAGAAGCACCGGCUAACUCCGUGCCAGCCGCCGCGGUAAUAC
rnacentral:rRNA from 1 species